CUGCUUCCAUACUAAACGAUUCAUGCUGAGUGUGGAUCAACAGAUUGGAAACAACAACAUCUCCUGUUUUAUUUCUGCCCUCUGCAUGAUGUUUGGGAGCUAUUAUUGUUUUAACAUACAUUAUCCAUCGGGGCUGGCGUCUACACUGGAGUUUCUGCAGAGGUGUUUCUUCUCAAUCAACCCAGACAAGGGCAGUAAGGUGGAAGAAACCCGUAAACCCAGACUGCGUGUGAACCCCCGUGUACUCACCUUGAUCCAGGAACUUUCGGAUCAUGAGUGGCGUGAUGUUUGAGAAAGGACUAAAGUCACAGGUGCAUUUGCUUCAUAUGCUUCAUGAUGUUCAGAAAAGACAAAUGAGAACUUCAUUAAAAACAAAUAUUUCAAAGGCAUGUAAGUGUAUGUG